rnacentral:rRNA from 1 species
UACGAAGGGGGCUAGCGUUGUUCGGAAUCACUGGGCGUAAAGGGCGCGUAGGCGGCUUUGUAAGUCGGGGGUGAAAGCCUGUGGCUCAACCACAGAAUGGCCUUCGAUACUGGGACGCUUGAGUAUGGUAGAGGUUGGUGGAACUGCGAGUGUAGAGGUGAAAUUCGUAGAUAUUCGCAAGAACACCGGUGGCGAAGGCGGCCAAACUGGACCAUUACUGACGCUGAGGCGCGAAAGCGUGGGGAGCAAACAGG